rnacentral:rRNA from 1 species
CUGUAAGACUGGGAUAACUCCGGGAAACCGGGGCUAAUACCGGAUAACACCUACCCCCGCAUGGGGGAAGGUUGAAAGGUGGCUUCGGCUAUCACUUACAGAUGGACCCGCGGCGCAUUAGCUAGUUGGUGAGGUAAUGGCUCACCAAGGCGACGAUGCGUAGCCGACCUGAGAGGGUGAUCGGCCACACUGGGACUGAGACACGGCCCAGACUCCUACGGGAGGCAGCAGUGGUCAUAGC